rnacentral:rRNA from 1 species
UACGUAGGGGGCAAGCGUUGUCCGGAUUUAUUGGGCGUAAAGAGCGUGUAGGCGGCCAGGUAGGUCCGCUGUGAAAACUCGAGGCUCAACCUCGAGAUGUCGGCGGAAACCAUCUGGCUAGAGUCCGGAAGAGGAAAGUGGAAUUCCCGGUGUAGCGGUGAAAUGCGCAGAUAUCGGGAAGAACACCCGUGGCUAAGGCGGCUCUCUAGUACGGUACUGACGCUGAGACGCGAAAGCGUGGGUAGCAAACAGG